GCUUGUCUCAAAGAUUAAGCCAUGCAUGUCUAAGUGUAAAUAAGUCUAUACUGUGAAACUGCGAAUGGCUCAUUAAAUCAGUUAUCGUUUAUUUGAUGAUCUCUUACUACUUGGAUAACCGUGGUAAUUCUAGAGCUAAUACAUGCUGGUUAGCCUGACUUUUAGGAAGGGCUGUAUUUAUUAGAUAACAAACCAAUAUUCCUCGUGUCUAUUGUGAUGACUCAUAAUAACUGAUCGAAUCGCAUGGGCCUUGCCCGCGAUACAUCAUUCAAGUUUCUGCCCCAUCAGCUUUCGAUGGUAGUGUAUUGGACUACCAUGGCUUUAACGGGUAACGGAGGAUUAGGGUUCGAUUCCGGAGAGGGAGCCUGAGAAACGGCUACCACAUCUAAGGAAGGCAGCAGG
rnacentral:rRNA from 1 species